AUUGAACGCUGGCGGCAGGCCUAACACAUGCAAGUCGAGCGAGCGGAGGACGGGUGAGUAAAGUCUGGGAAACUGCCUGAUGGAGGGGGAUAAAGACUGGAAAAGGUAGAUAAAACAGCAUACAACACGAUGUGCCCAGAGGGGAUUAGCUAGUAGGUGGGGGAACGGCGCACCUAGGGGACGAUCCCUAUAUGGUCUGAGAGGAUGACCAGCCACACUGGAACUGAGACACGGUCCAGACUCCUACGGGAGGCAGCGGGGGGGAAGAUUGCACAAUGGGCGCAAGCCUGAUGCAGCCAUGCCGCGUGUGUGAAGAAGGCCUUCGGGUUGUAAAGCACUUUCAGCGGGGAGGCGUUACCCGCAGAAGAAGCACCGGCUAACUCCGUGCCAGCCGCCGCGGUAAUAC
rnacentral:rRNA from 1 species